rnacentral:rRNA from 1 species
UACGAAGGGGGCUAGCGUUGCUCGGAAUUACUGGGCGUAAAGCGCACGUAGGCGGCUUCUUAAGUCGGUGGUGAAAUCCUGGAGCUCAACUCCAGAACUGCCUUCGAUACUGGGAAGCUCGAGUCCGGGAGAGGUGAGUGGAACUGCGAGUGUAGAGGUGAAAUUCGUAGAUAUUCGCAAGAACACCAGUGGCGAAGGCGGCUCACUGGCCCGGUACUGACGCUGAGGUG